rnacentral:misc_RNA from 1 species
UGGUUCUGGCAUCGAUGAAGAACGCAGCGAAAUGCGAUAAGUAAUAUGAAUUGCAGAGUUUACUGAAUCAUCGAAUCUUUGAACGCACAUUGCGCCUGCUAGUAUUCUGGCAGGCAUGCCUGUCCGAGCGUCAUCUCGACCCUCAAGCCUUGGCUGCUUGGUGUUAGGGCUCUGCAGCGGUUGUCGCAGGCCCCGAAGAUCAGUGGCGGACCCGUAGGCUCCCCAGCGCAGUAGCAUCUCUCGCUGUGGGUUCAUUACGGGAUUCUGGCCAGAAUCGUGAGUGCCCGCCCACGGGGGCAGCGCUCACUGUAUUCACUGGUUGACCUCGGAUCAGGUAGGAAUACCCGCUGA